AGCAGUAGCCGCGGGAAUACGGAGGGUGCAAGCGUUAAUCGGAAUUACUGGGCGUAAAGUGCACGCAGGCGGUCUGACAAGUCAGAUGUGAAAUCCCCGGGCUUAACCUGGGAACUGCAUUUGAAACUGUCAGGCUGGAGUCUUGUAGAGGGGGGUGGAAUUCCAGGUGUAGCGGUGAAAUGCGUAGAGAUCUGGAGGAAUACCGGUGGCGAAGGCGGCCCCCUGGACAAAGACUGACGCUCAGGUGCGAAAGCGUGGGGAGCAAACAGGAUUAGAUACCCCAGUAGUCCCUGUCUCUUAUAU
rnacentral:rRNA from 1 species